rnacentral:rRNA from 1 species
AGAGUUUGAUCCUGGCUCAGAUUGAACGCUGGCGGCAUGCCUUACACAUGCAAGUCGAACGGUAACGCGGGGCAACCUGGCGACGAGUGGCGAACGGGUGAGUAACGCAUCGGAACGUGCCCAGUAGUGGGGGAUAGCCCGGCGAAAGCCGGAUUAAUACCGCAUACGACCUACGGGUGAAAGCGGGGGACCGCAAGGCCUCGCGCUGUUGGAGCGGCCGAUGUCAGAUUAGGUAGUUGGUGGGGUAAAGGCCUACCAAGCCUGCGAUCUGUAGCUGGUCUGAGAGGACGACCAGCCACACUGGGACUGAGACACGGCCCAGACUCCUACGGGAGGCAGCAGUGGGGAAUUUUGGACAAUGGGGGAAACCCUGAUCCAGCCAUGCCGCGUGCGGGAAGAAGGCCUUCGGGUUGUAAACCGCUUUUGUCAGGGAAGAAAUCCCUCGGGCCAAUACCCUGGGGGGAUGACGGUACCUGAAGAAUAAGCACCGGCUAACUACGUGCCAGCAGCCGCGGUAAUACGUAGGGUGCAAGCGUUAAUCGGAAUUACUGGGCGUAAAGCGUGCGCAGGCGGUUGUGCAAGACAGGUGUGAAAUCCCCGGGCUUAACCUGGGAACUGCACUUGUGACUGCACGGCUGGAGUACGGCAGAGGGGGAUGGAAUUCCGCGUGUAGCAGUGAAAUGCGUAGAUAUGCGGAGGAACACCGAUGGCGAAGGCAGUCCCCUGGGCCUGUACUGACGCUCAU